CUACGGGCUGCAGCCGUGGGGAAUAUUGCGCAAUGGAGGAAACUCUGAUGCAGCAACGCCGCGUGGAGGAUGACACUUUUCGGAGCGUAAACUCCUUUUAUAUAGGAAGAAGAUGACGGUACUAUAUGAAUAAGCGCCGGCUAACUCCGUGCCAGCAGCCGCGGUAAUACGGAGGGCGCAAGCGUUACUCGGAAUCACUGGGCGUAAAGAACGUGUAGGCGGAUUAAAAAGUCAGAAGUGAAAUCCUAUAGCUUAACUAUAGAACUGCUUCUGAAACUCUUAAUCUAGAAUAUGGGAGAGGUAGAUGGAAUUUCUGGUGUAGGGGUAACAUCCGUAGAGAUCAGAAGGAAUACCGAUUGCGAAGGCGAUCUACUAGAACAUAAUUGACGCUGAGACGCGAAAGCGUGGGGAGCAAACAGGAUUAGAUACCCUGGUAGUC
rnacentral:rRNA from 1 species